rnacentral:rRNA from 1 species
UACGGGGGGAGCAAGCGUUGUUCGGAUUUACUGGGCGUAAAGGGCGCGUAGGCGGCCACUGCAAGUCGGUUGUGAAAUCUCCGGGCUUAACCCGGAAAGGUCAAUCGAUACUGCAGGGCUAGAGUGCAGAAGGGGCAACUGGAAGUUCUCGGUGUAGCGGUGAAAUGACGUAGAUAUCGAGAGGAACACCUGCGGCGAAGGCGGGUUGCUGGGCUGACACUGACGCUGAAGCGCGAAAGCUAGGGGAGCGAACGGG